rnacentral:rRNA from 1 species
GACCAAACUUUCAGUAACUUAGUGGCGGACGGGUGAGUAACGCGUGGGUAACCUGCCUUAUACAGGGGGAUAACAGUCGGAAACGACUGCUAAUACCGCAUAAGCGCACAGUAUCGCAUGAUACAGUGUGAAAAGAUUUAUCGGUAUAAGAUGGACCCGCGUCUGAUUAGCUGGUUUGGUGAGGGUAACGGCCCACCAAGGCGACCGAUCAGUAGCCGGCCUGAGAGGGUGAACGGCCACAUUGGGACUGAGACACGGCCCAAACUCCUACGGGAGGCAGCAGUGGGGAAUAUUGCACAAUGGGGGAAACCCUGAUGCAAGCGACGCCGCGUGAGUGAAGAAGUAUUUCGGUAUGUAAAGCUCUAUCAGCAGGGAAGAAAAUGACGGUACCUGACUAAGAAGCCCCGGCUAACUACGUGCCAGCAGCAGC